CCGGGGAUGCCUUGUUUUCGGACGGAGGCCUGGUAGUCUGAGGAAUGCAGAAAUGUUGUGCAGAUAGCAGAGCACGAAUGACUGCGGUGUAGAUGCUGAUGCUGCCCAGGCCAUGAGAGCCUCGGUGAAGAGCUUUGUUUUCCCUCACUUCAGCGCACAUGAUUGCUACACGUCUUCUCAAGGACAAAUGCAAGCAGAGGACGGCAGUCGUCUUCCUGUUAAAAAGCAGCUGCUCCUGGAAACAUGCAAGAAAAAGGAUUUUAAGGGUAAAAUUUAAAAUUGGAACAGGUUAUACAAGAGCUACUGAUAACGCCACGCCGUAUCAUCCCACUCAAGGCAUCCCCGCAGUGUCUCCCUUUAUCGGUUUUGCAUGAAUAGAUAAAUGUUUCUGAGCAAAUGCAGAAUUAAAUGACUGCUGUAGCCGGUUGCGAGUUCAAGAAACUGUCUGACCGUACUUGUACAGAAGAGUUUCGAAAGGAACAUUUUCUUGGAUUGUUUCCUUGAAACUCUCUGAAUUGAAGGCUUUGUGCUGUUGAGCAAGUCUCGGUGAGAUCACGUUCAUUUUCUGGGCUGCAGAGCUCCGCUGAGGGCAGCAAAGCAGACGAGAGCCGCUCACCACCAAGUGCCCGGUCACAAACUCCUGCGAGCGAUGACACAGGCGUCUCUAUUUGCAGUUGGUCGGGUGCUGGCAGGCACCCUGAUUCCCGGUAAAUUAAAACCAAACAGAAGUGGGUUCCCUCUCGACGGCUUUAUCUCCACUGAGAGGAGAUGUCAACGCAGCUAUUUGUGCUUGGCUUUUAUCUACAGCAUCGUGCUGUGCUGGUUGGUCAAAGCAGGAGUCUGCGGAUGUGUGCAAACCAUCACUCGUGGUCAUUGAGGAGAGCCACUGAGCUGUGAGGCCAGGAGGAUGCUGCACGCAUGCACUGCCCAAAUUUUUUAAUGUUUGGGCUUUCCUGUCCGCUUGGGCUGUGAGGGUGUGUGCAUGGUUCGCGGUGCUCUGCGAAUCUCUGGAUAAAAAGCACCAGCAGUAUUUCUUGUUAAAGGCUGUCAGUAUUAAACUUCACAAAACUGGCAUUUCGCAAGAGCCCACUGGUGCAUUUUUGUUACAUUUCCAUGCCAUUUCUCUUCAGUAACUAUUAAAGUGGAAAUAUCUGUGCUGGAAA